ACGGAGGAUCCGAGCGUUAUCCGGAUUUAUUGGGUUUAAAGGGUGCGUAGGCGGGCUCAUAAGUCAGCGGUGAAAGUUUGCGGCUCAACCGUAAAAUUGCCGUUGAAACUGUGAGUCUUGAGUGUAGAUGAGGUGGGUGGAAUUCGUGGUGUAGCGGUGAAAUGCAUAGAUAUCACGAAGAACUCCAAUUGCGUAGGCAGCUCACUGGGCUACAACUGACGCUGAGGCACGAAGGUGCGGGGAUCAAACAG
rnacentral:rRNA from 1 species